CCUACGGGUGGCAGCAGUGAGGAAUAUUGGUCAAUGGGCUUACGCCUGAACCAGCCAAGUCGCGUGAGGGAAGACUGCUUUAUGGGUUGUAAAUCUCUUUUGCCAGGGCGCAACGCCGGCUACGUGCAGCCGGACUGAGAGUACCUGACGAAAAAGCAUCGGCUAACUCCGUGCCAGCAGCCGCGGUAAUACGGGGGAUGCGAGGGUUAUCCGGAUUUAUUGGGUUUAAAGGGUGCGUAGGGGGAAUGCCAUGUCAUCGGUAAAAUGGCGGGGGUAAACCACGUUCUGCCGUUGAAACUGGCGUUCUUGAGUGGGCGAGAGGUAUGCGGAAUGCGGGGUGUAGCGGUGAAAUGCGUAGAUAUAAGGCAGAACUCCGGUUGCGAAGGCGGAAUACCGGAGACCAACUGACGCUGAGGCGCGAAAGCGUGGGGAGCGAACAGGAUUAGAUACCCUGGUAGUC
rnacentral:rRNA from 1 species